rnacentral:rRNA from 1 species
UACGUAGGGGGCAAGCGUUGUCCGGAUUUAUUGGGCGUAAAGCGCGUGUAGGCGGCCAGGUAGGUCCGCUGUGAAAACCCGAGGCUCAACCUCGGGACGUCGGCGGAAACCAUUUGGCUAGAGUCCGGAAGAGGAGAGUGGAAUUCCCGGUGUAGCGGUGAAAUGCGCAGAUAUCGGGAAGAACACCCGUGGCGAAGGCGGCUCUCUGGGACGGUACUGAUGCUGAGACGCGAAAGCGUGGGGAGCGAACAGG